AAGAGCUGCGCCAUGAGCGCAUGAUACGCCCGUCGUUCGCCAAUGAAGUAGUAAGGUAAUAAAUAACCCUUUGAAUCAUUUUUUUACUUCAGUUUAUUUGUAUUUGAAUACAUGGUUUAUUUUAUAAGAACAUGAGCAUGGAGCGCCGUCUCCUUGACAUUCAACAAAGUCCCAUAACUGUGGAACAACAAUUCAGAAUUCCGUCAAAAACGAAAGGGGAUCAGGGUUUAUCAAUAUUAAGAUUGUGUUGAAAUUUGAAAAAAAUCCAUCGAAGGAUAUUUGAGCUACAGUAGGACAUUCAAUGAAAUCACGAAAUUUUGACGAACAAAGUCCCAUAACUCUGGAACGACAAUUCAGAAUUCCGUCAAAAACGAAAGGGGAUCAGGGUUUAUCAAUAUUAAGAUUGUGUUAAAAUUUGAAGAAAAUCUGUCAAAGGAUAUUUGACGUAGCGUACGACAUUAACAGACGGACAGACGGACGCGGGGUAUACCAUAAUACGUCCCGUCAUAGAC